ACAAGCUUCGCCUGAGCUAUUGUACACCAAAUUCAAACGCUUGGUCUUGCAUUUGAUUCUUAUCGAGACAAGGAAGAUGUGGAGAUGAUUUUGUACUGUUUGACCAUGAUCCGGAGAGGUAAACUUAUUAGAUAGGUUGUUCUGUAUGUUGAGACAUUGCAAAGAGUUUGUAUAAAAAAUAGGGAAGCUAUUUCAGGAUGUAUUUAGCUGCUUCACUUGUUGGUGCUUAUCUAUUUUGGUUAGUAUUUUUGGUUUUAGUUCCAAUGUUUAUGUAUGCAGCUUGCUGAUUCCCCUAUUCGUGUAAUUACCCUUGUCCGAUUUCCCUUUCCAUAUAACUACAUCUUGUUUUAAUGCAGAUGUUACUGAUACUAAUGAAUGUCAUCCAAAGUGCUUUGCUCUUGGGUCUGUAGUUGAAGGAUUAAUAAUUUAAAUUUUUCACUUUACUUUCUUGGACAGGCAAUUGAAAGUUUUUUUCUUCUCUGCGUCUUCCGGUUGCAAUAUAUGGUCCUCUGGUUGGAGUAUUCUGCUUCCAAAACGGAAGUGCUACUGGAAUCGAUGAUGAGACAAAAAAAAAAGGAUCAAGAUACUUUGCAUGAUGCCGAUCCGGAUGACGAGACUAUACGAUCGCACUAUUUUGCUUUAGAGAAAGGGUUUUGGUGUCAACUGCUGCUAGCUACAUAUUUCUUAGAUAAUGUGAAGAGUAAAAAGAAUCGGAUGCCAUGUGGUGCAAGACGGGUGAUGCCAAGAAGGCGGCCCAAGUGAAGCAAAAAGUGGAUUGGGGAUUGGGAACACAAGGCACAAGGGAAGGGAAGAAGGGCAAGCCCGUGGAGCCAUCCCAAGGACACUGCAUGUCCAACAGAGGAGAGUGAAAACUAUGUAAACUUUUUUUCUUUUUGAAGCUGAAGACUAUGUAAACCCAGAGCACAAAUUUGUUUUCAUCGUGAUGUUUCAUUAACUAUUACAUAAUUGGUACAUGAUU